CCCUUAGAUGUUCUGGGCCGCACGCGCGCUACACUGAUGCAUUCAACGAGUCUAAAACCUGCUCUGAUAGGGGUGGGUAAUCUUUUGAAUGUGCAUCGUGAUUGGGAUAGAUGAUUGCAAUUUUUCAUCCUCAACGAGGAAUGCCUAGUAAACGCAAGUCAUCAGCUUGCAUUGAUUACGUCCCUGCCCUUUGUACACACCGCCCGUCGCUCCUACCGAUUGAAUGAUCCGAUGAAUAUCAUGGAUUGAGGAUGCAAGUAGGUUCGCCUAUCUUCAUCUUCGAGAAGUGAAGUAAAUCUUAUCAUUUAGAGGAAGGAGAAGUCGUAACA
rnacentral:rRNA from 1 species